CCUCCCCGCGUCUCUCCCCUCGUCUACCACCUCCGCCUCCUAGUCGCCGUCCCCGCCUUCCGCUUCCCUCCUCAGCCGGCCGCGCAACCGCCCCUAGGCCUUCGCCGCCGCCUCUCUUCCCGCUCCUCUCCGCACAGGUCACCGCUGCCCCUCAUCCCUGCCCAGGCGGCGGCCGACCCCGUCACCGGCCACCCGAGCGCCUCUCCCCGCCCGGGCGCCGCUCCUCUGCGCCGGCGCUUGCUCCUCUCCGCCCGUAGCCGCUCAUGCGCCGGCCGACCCCAGCAGCGGCAGGUUGGGCGCCCGUCCCCGUCCCUGCGCUUCUCCUCUGCGUCGGCCGCCCAAGCGCCUGUCGCCGGCCGGCCCCCCGCCCCUGAGUGACCGCCGAGGCGUCAUCCAAAAUCCCAAAUCAGCUACUGGAAUCAAUAUCUCCAAACAGCACCAACCUGAUUUUUAUUCUAAAUCCAGAUUCUCAUAAUCCAUCCAAAAUCCUUAUAUUCUAACUUCUCAAAAUCUACAAUCUGAGGGCCUUAGACUUUCUGCGGAUGCAGAGAUAUCCAUGGAGGCACAGUGCUUCGCUGGGGGCCAUGGGGUCCCUUCUCGGGAAGCUCGACUUGCUUCUGGAGGCUUCCGAAGAAGAAAACAUAUGCAGGCUUCAGCUUCACAAGGGAAGCAUUUAUGGGACUCACCUCCUCAAAGAAGACCUUGAAGAAAUCGCCUCAUACCUUGAAGACCUUUCAGAGGUGGAGGAUCCACCGCUGACAGCCAAGUGUUGGAUGAAAGAGGUGCGUGAACUGUCCUAUGACAUCCAGGAUUACAUCGACAACUUUGUGUUUCCUGGUCGUGUUGCCAACGUCAAGAGUAGAUCUGGGUGCCACCGAAUCAGACAUAUCAAGAUCGAUCGCCUUGUACAGACGAAUAGGAAGCUCAAUCGACGCAAACGAAUCACUGUCAUGAUCUCAGAUUUCAGAAUCUAUGCCCAGGAAGCGAUUGAACGCCACAAGAGGUAUGAGCUUGAUUGCUGCACCUACAGGCGCAGAUUUUCGCAUGCUGGGCGGCUUCCAGCCUCAUAUGAAGUGGGUGCUGAUAUAAUCAUCGAUAACCGGAUGAGGAAAUUUAUGGACUCGCUGGCUAACGACAGGGAUCAACAACUCAAGGUGUUCUCUGUUGUCGGAUCUGAAGGAAUUGGUAAGACGACAUUUGUUGAAGCAUUGUACAGCAAACUCAAAGGACAAUUUGAUUGUCGAGCAUUCAUCCGCUUGACCCGGAAACCUGAUAUUAAGACAAUGUUGUAUGACAUCUUCACACAAGUCCAGAGGCAGCAACCCCAUGGCCAGAUUGAGGGUCCCGACAUUGUUGGCAAAAUUAGGGAACAUCUACAGCAUAAAAGGUAUUUGAUUGUUAUUGAUGAUUUAUGGUCUGCAUCGAUAUGGGAUGUAACUAGUCAUGCUUUCCCGGGUGGCAGAACGUGUAGCAGAAUAAUAACAACUACUCAGAUUGAAGAUGUUGCAUUAGCAUGCUGUUGUUAUGAGUCAGGUUAUGUCUUCGAAAUGAGACCUCUGGAUGAUGAUCUAUCAAGAAAACUAUUUUUCAAUAGCCUUUUUUGCUCUGAAAGUGAUUUUUCUCCAAAAAUGAAAGAAGUUUCGAACAAAAUUGUAAAAACAUGUGGUGGUUCACCACUAGCAACAACCAUGAUUGCUUCACUUUUAGCAAGCCACCCUGUGGUGUUAAUAGAGCAAUGGACAUACAUACGUGAUUCACUAAGCUUGUAUUUGAGGACAAGUUCUACUUCAGAAGGAUUAUUGAAACUAAUAGUAAACUUCAGCUACAAUAACCUCACUCACCAUUUGCAGACGUGCUUGCUCUAUCUUAAUAUGUAUCCAGAGGGCUGCACCGUAUGUAAGGAUGAUUUGGUGAAGCAAUGGGUGGCUGAAGGUUUUAUUGAUGCAACCGAAGGGCCAGAGCUGGAGACUGCAGAGAGCUAUUUCAACGAACUUAUUGCUAGAAAAUUCCUACAACCUGCAGUUAUCAGAUAUGACAAUGAGGUGGUAUCUUGUUCAGUUCAUGAUGUGGUACGUGAUCUUAUUGUGCAGAAAUCUUUAGAAGAGAAUUUCAUUAUGGUACUUGAUUGUUAUCGGAAGAAUAUGGCACUUUCUGAAAAGGUUCGUCGACUGUCUCUCCACUUUCCUCAUGCAAAGUAUGCAAGGACAAACAUAAGAUCAUCACAAGUUCGCUCACUUACUUACUUUGGAUUAUCUAAGUGCAUGCCUUCUAUUAGGGAGUUUAAGCUUCUCCGUGUUCUAAACCUUGGAUUAUCUGGUCAUGAUGAUGGUGAUGACAUAAUAGAUCUUACUGGGAUUUCUGAACUACUGCAGUUGAGAUAUCUAAAGGUUACAAGUGAUGUCAUCACAGAACUACCUACGCAUAUGCGAGGGUUACAAUAUUUGGAAACCCUGGAUAUCGGUACGGAAAUCACACAUGUUCCAUGGGAUAUUAUCCAUUUACCAUGCUUGUUGCACCUCCAUCUUCCUUUCAAGACAAAUCUGAUCGAUUUGAUUGGUGCCAUACCUGCCUGUGUGUGGAGCCUUGGCAAGCUGACAAACCUGCAGUAUCUCUAUCUCACCUGUUCUAUACCGGUUCCUGACCAUCUUCAGAGAAACAUGGAAGCUCUGGGCUCUUUACUUGGAGGACAUGGAAACCUGAAAACUCUAGUUCUCAGUCUUGGCUCUGCUCAUAAAAAUGAUGUGGUUCACGGUCCUUCAGAAGUAACUGUUUCCUGGGAUGUCUUUGCACCUCCCCUCCUUGAGAGAUUUGAAUGGUUGCCACACAUCUUCACCUUUUCCAGAGUCCCCAAGUGGAUGGGAAAGCUUGGCAACCUCUGCAUUUUAAAGAUUUCAGUAAGGGAACUGUUGAAGGUUGGUGUUACCAUUCUUGGAGAAUUGCAUGCUCUCACAGCACUGUCGCUGUAUGUGCAGAUAGCGCCUCUUAAGAGGAUCAUCUUCGACAAGACAGGAUUCUCAGUUCUCAAGUACUUCAAGUUUAUGUGCACUACAGUACCUUGGCUGAAAUUUGAGGUGGAUGCAAUGCCUAACCUCCAGAGGCUCAAGCUAGGCUUCAGUGCCCAGAGGGUGUAUCAACACAGCAGUAGACCUAUCAGCAUCGAGCACUUGCCUAGUCUUAAAGAGAUCUCUGCAAAAGUUGGGGAUGCAAGUCCUGAUGCAGAGACUGCCUUGGUGGCUGCCGUUAGCAAUCAUCCAAGAAAUCCUAGAAUCAGAGUGCAAUUGGUAGAUUGGAACUUUCAUGGUGACAGAGUUUGGUAUAUGGUAAGCAAACAGAAAGAACCCAAGACUCUAGAAGAAGAUGUGAUGCUUGAGGAAGGGCUGGAUGAACACUGUGGACCUCAAGAAGAGGACUCAAGGGACAAUGAGAAUGAUGAAGGUCAUGUCAGGCGUAGUGGUGUCAAAAGGAGUCGGAAGGUGAGCUGCACCAAAAGUGCAAAAGGUCCAGAUGCCUCUACUUCACCAUCCAUUAUAGGAGAACGAUUGGUACCAAGUAGUAGUGUUUCUGAGCCUUCUACUGUUUUAUCAUCGUUAACUACCUGUACUUCUGAGGCAAGAAAUCCCCAACAACGCAACAGUAACAUUACAGUAUGUCAGUUCCCAGGAUGUGUGAAAAGAGCAAUAGGGUCAUCAGGGUGUUGCAUUGCCCAUGGUGAUGGUAAGCGUUGCCAGAAACCUGGUUGCCAAAAGGGUGCUGUAGGGAGGACGAUCUAUUGCAAGGCCCAUGGUGGAGGCAGGAGAUGCGAAUUUCUUGGAUGUACAAAGAAUGCUGAAGGGCGCACAGACUACUGCAUAGCUCAUGGUGGUAGUCGCCGUUGCAUUCUUGAAGGUUGCUUCCGAGCUGCUCGUGGAAAAUCUGGCUUCUGCACCAAACAUGGUGGUGGAAAAAGGUGUCAGAGGGAGAACUGCACCAAAAGUGCAGAAGGUCGUUCUGGCUUCUGCAUCGCCCAUGGUGGUGGAAGGCGGUGCCAGUUUCCAGAUUGCGCAAAGGGUGCUCAGGGAAGCACAAUGUUCUGCAAGGCGCAUGGUGGAGGAAAGCGCUGCACAUUCUUGGGAUGCACCAGAGGGGCUGAAGGUAGCACUCCACUUUGCAAGAGUCAUGGUGGAGGCAAGCGCUGUGCAUUUCAGGGUGGUGGCGUGUGCCCAAAGAGUGUGCAUGGUGGCAGUCAGUUUUGUGUUGACCAUGGUGGUCGGAAGAGGUGUGCUAUCUCUGGCUGCACCAAAAGCGCUAUAGAGGGCACACAGAUUACUGCAUCCGCCAUGGAGGUGGCAAGAGGUGCAUGUUUGAGGGCUGCAGCAGGAGUGUGCAGGGGAGCACCGAUUUCUGUAAGGCUCAUGGAGCAGCUAAACGAUGCUCGUGGGGCCAGGUGGACUCAAGCUUUGGUCGUGGCUCACAGCAGUGCGAUAGGUUUGCUCGGGGCAAGACUGGUCUCUGCUCAGUUCACAUGUAUGUAGUCCAAGACCGCUGUGUUAUUGACAGUGAUGCAUCAAGCUCUGUAAUCCAGCAGUUUUCAAUAGUUCCAAGUGAGAUGAAAGCCACUGAAGUGAAGGGAGAUGCACACGAGAAGACGAGCGACGAUGCAAGACCUUCGCUGGGUUUGGAUAGCUCUGUUCAGUCUUUGACCAAUCCGAUUGCAGAGGGCAGAAUUCAUGGUGCUGAGCUGUCGGGGUAAAGAUAUCGUCUGGAGUAAAAAGCUGGAUCCGCCCCUCAGAACAGUGCUUCUGGCACGGGUUCAUGAUCUCGUAGAGAGAUGACGGUUCAAUUAUCUUAAUGCAAUCGGUUGUUUGCAAUGUUAACAGUUCCUACAGUUCGUGAUGUGGCAAAAUAAAGCGUCUUGCGAAUUUGCCCGGUUGUUCUCAUGUUUGGGCGUUUGGCUUUGAUACGAUCAACCUAGCUUAUGUUGUGUGAAAAAAAUUAGGGGCAGCUCGCAGAACAUGGGCCAUGCGCUCAAUUGUUGUUGCCGUACUGUCCUUGUUUUAAGUUCUGCACUAUUUGUUUGCGUAUUAAGUAUUUUGAUGUUAUUGUUUCGAGUAAUAUAAGAUUCUUUUAUCCAAUGUGAAAUACAUACUUGAUAUUCUUAUCUGGCCA